AUACGGAAGGUCCGGGCGUUAUCCGGAUUUAUUGGGUUUAAAGGGAGCGCAGGCGGAGAUGCAAGCGUGACGUCAAAUUUCGGGGCUCAACCCCGUCUCGCGUCGCGAACUGCGUCCCUUGGUUGCGGGAAGGGGAGGCGGAACUCGUGGUGUAGCGGUGAAAUGCAUAGAUAUCACGAAGAACUCCGAUCGCGAAGGCAGCCUUCCGGCCCGUCAACGACGCUCAUGCUCGAAGGUGCGGGUAUCAAACAGGAGUAGAUACCCUGGUAGUCCGUACAGUAAACGGUGGACACCCGCGGUUUGGCCUGUAUGGCUGAGCCGCCAAGCGAAAGCGUUAAGUGUCCCACCUGGGGAGUACGCCGGCAACGGUGAAACUCAAAUGAAUUGACGGGG
rnacentral:rRNA from 1 species